UUUGAUUCCUUGUGAAUAACCAUCAGGAACUUUCCUGUAACUUUAGUUGAUUGCAGUCCCCCCUCCCCCGGCCUUACCCGCCUGGUUCCCUCUCCUUCCUUCUAAGCUCUUUGCUCGAUUGGCAUUAUCCCGUAGUAGUGUCACAGCCUGCAGUCAUUUAAUGCCUCUUCUCGUGGGGUCAGGAUUCCACGCCCAAGUGCAUUUAGCAGAAUCAGACGGCUGACAGGAAGCUCUGGUGUGGGCUGGUCCAUGAGGUCACGAAGAGUCGGAAGCAACUGAACGAAUAAACAACACAAUAAAGAGAAUUUUCCCAU
rnacentral:lncRNA from 11 species